AGAGAGGUCUGAGAGAACAGGAGAGAGAGAGGGGUCUGAGAGAACAGGAGAGAGAGAGAGAGGUCUGAGAGAACAGGGGAGAGAGAGAGAGGUCUGAGAGAACAGGAGAGAGAGAGAGAGGUCUGAGAGAACAGGGGAGAGAGAGAGGUCUGAGAGAACAGGAGAGAGAGGGGUCUGAGAGAACAGGAGAGAGAGAGAGGUCUGAGAGAACAGGAGAGAGAGAGAGGUCUGAGAGAACAGGAGAGAGAAGGGUCUGAGAGAACAGGAGAGAGAGAGAGAGGUCUGAGAGAACAGGAGAGAGAGAGAGGUCUGAGAGAACAGGAGAGAGAAGGGUCUGAGAGAACAGGAGAGAGAGAGAGAGAGGUCUGAGAGAACAGGAGAGAGAGAGAGAGGUCUGAGAGAACAGGAGAGAGAGAGAGAGAGGUCUGAGAGAACAGGAGAGAGAGAGAGAGAGGUCUGAGAGAAC